UACAGAGGUCUCAAGCGUUGUUCGGAUUCAUUGGGCGUAAAGGGUGCGUAGGCGGCGCGGUAAGUCGGGUGUGAAAUCUUGGAGCUUAACUCCGAAACUGCAUUCGAUACUGCCGUGCUUGAGGACUGGAGAGGAGACUGGAAUUUACGGUGUAGCGGUGAAAUGCGUAGAUAUCGUAAGGAAGACCAGUGGCGAAGGCGGGUCUCUGGACAGUUCCUGACGCUGGAGGCAACGAAGGCCAGGGGAGCAAACGGG
rnacentral:rRNA from 1 species